CCCUACGGGAGGCAGCAGUGGGGAAUAUUGCACAAUGGGGGAAACCCUGAUGCAGCGACGCCGCGUGAAGGACGAAGUAUUUCGGUACGUAAACUUCUAUCAGCAGGGAAGAAAAUGACGGUACCUGACCAAGAAGCCCCGGCUAACUACGUGCCAGCAGCCGCGGUAAUACGUAGGGGGCAAGCGUUAUCCGGAUUUACUGGGUGUAAAGGGAGCGUAGACGGCAUUGCAAGUCUGAUGUGAAAGAUUGGGGCUCAACCCCAGGCCUGCAUUGGAAACUGUAAAGCUGGAGUACAGGAGAGGUA
rnacentral:rRNA from 1 species